CUUAGUACGACCCUGUCAAUGGAAGCACACAAUGAGAACAUUGAUAUAAAAUGGGACCAGGCCAGAAUAAUUAAAUCAUUAACUACCUUUUUGAAACCACUAUUAAUGGAAUCCUUGCAGAUACAGAAAGCCACCAGUGAGAGGGACGUCCUCAAUGACAGGCUUACCUUCCAACUCCCCCAAGCUUGGGAAUACUUAAUCAGACAAACUAACAACGAUCCCAGAAAUAAGGACAGAGGACACCGGCCCAAACAUUCAAGAACACCCGCUUAAUAAAUAAUAAAAGGAACAUCAAAGGGAGGCAUAACAAUAAUGUUACCAUUAAUCAAAGGAAAACGCGAAAAGAAAAAUAAUGAUGAUUAACCUUUAUGGACAAUUUUGUUUUGUUAUAGU
rnacentral:lncRNA from 1 species